rnacentral:rRNA from 1 species
AUUGAACGCUGGCGGCAGGCCUAACACAUGCAAGUCGAACGAGUGGCGGACGGGUGAGUAAUGUCUGGGACACUGCCUGAUGGAGGGGGAUAACUACUGGAAACGGUAGCUAAUACCGCAUACCAUCGGAUGUGCCCAGAUGGGAUUAGCUAGUAGGUGGGGUAACCGCUCACCUAGGCGACGAUCCCUAUCUGGUCUGAGAGGAUGACCAGCAACACUGGAACUGAGACACGGCCAGACGACUACGGUAGGCAGCAGUGAGGAAUAUUGCACAAGGGGCGCAAGCCUUAUGCAGCCAUGCCGCGUGUAUGAAGAAGGCCUUCGGGUUGUAAAGUACUUUAAGCGGGGAGGCGUUACCCGCAGAAGAAGCACCGGCUAACUCCGUGCCAGCAGCCGCGGUAAUAC